GACAUCAGGAGGCCACAGUGAUGGACCGGUUCCAUGACUAAAGGGGCGGGGGGACCAAGUUGUGAACAAGAGAGGAAAGGAAGGAAGAUACCAAAAAAGUACAGGUGAUAAGGACAGAGCUCUUCAGUGUACCAUUGAAUAUUAAUUGAGGAACCCAACAGUGACAUAUUUACCUAACAAGUCUUCAGAUCAGUGCAAGAUCUGGGGCUGAAUUCUCAGCAUCGUGCUGUAGAACAGCGUGGAUUGUGGUCCAGGACUCAUCUGACAAAGUUGGAUGAGAAGGACAAGCAUUGACACAAUGGACACAACUGGGCAGAACUAUAAUGCAGAACGAGAAGGUGGAAUGGGUGAGCAAUCAAUGAGGAAAUUUCACUUUGAAUAUUACGUUAUAGAAAGAUGCUCGAAACACGGACUGAGAGUUUCAUUACAUUUUCUGAACAGGAUAAAUAAAACAAAAGUGAUUUGAGACAACUACACAGGGACUCAAAAAUUCCUUCUUUAUCUACUCCAGUAUACUGGGAUGAAAUUUUACAGCAUCACGUUUGUGUAUGAAGGAAAUCUUAUGUAAGUUAAUGAAGUUCUUUGAUGCAAAACCUAAUAUUUUACCUUACUGUCCCUACUGAUAGUGAAUACUUGAUAAUUCCUAAUGAUACUCUCUUCAUAACUUGGGAGCAAUCUGUUCAUUUCACAUCUGAAAACAGUUCAGUAAUGUAAUUUCUCUAUAAAAUGCUGCUACUAACCAUAUCUAAACUAAUUAGGCACAGUCAGAAGCAGCUCACUGAAUGAGCAGAUUUGGAAUUUGGCACUGUUCCUACUACAUAACUUGAUUGGGACACUAUUACCGAUGCCUUCAUUUCUGGGCCUCUACAGACAGACUUCUAUGCUUUCUCAUCUUUUCUGUCUUAGAUCACUACCACAGGCAUUUGUCACAUCCUGCCCAUAAGGGCAACAGCCUAUUGGUAACUGUUUUGCUGGGCCUCUUUUGUCUUUUGGGGAGUAGAUCUAUGUGAGGAGGACAGCUGCAUGGAUACAGUGUGCUUGGCCAGUCCCAUCUACAAAAUGAUUUUAGUGUCUGCUAACAGUGGUGCCUCCAUACUUUUCCAUAGGGCUGGGCACAGAACAGGUGCUGAAUGACAGCCAUCCCAUGACACAUCCACAACACUUUUUAUUCCUAAAUUGAUUUUUAUUUAGCUCAACAAAAGCUCUUAAAACUUCAGGUCCUAUGUUUUUUACUAGUAAUUAUUAUCCAAAUUUUAGCACAUUUAGCCAAUUUACCACCUAACUUGGGUACACGGGAGCAUGAUCACAAGGAGUUAAAUCCUCAAACUGAAGGAGAUACCAAACAAAUACUAGAAAUAAUAUCAUGGGAUUAAACAAGAGAAUGCUGGAAUACUCUGUCACUUCAGCAGAAACUGAAAAAAAUGUAAUUUGUAUUUUUAUAAGCAUUGUAUGUACCGGUU